rnacentral:lncRNA from 1 species
CGAAAAAAAAAUGUGUAAAAUAUAAAUUGCUGAUUCAGCACAACGUGUGACGUCAUUAGUUGGGUAAGUAUGUUUAAUGAAUACCAUUACUAAACUGAAGCAUAGCUCAGACCACCCACUCAAGAUCGUUGGUCACGCCCGCGAUCAUUGAUGAACUUUAAAACUUCGCUAUUAAUGCUUUCGUUUCCCCGGGUGUAAAUAGCCUGGGGAAUUAGUACCCUCGCCCCUGGCUUAAGCCCGGAACGGCGCUCCGCGCCGUUGGCUCGGGGAUGACAGUUCCACCAAGUAUAGGAUUAAGGCAUGGUGGAAAAGACGGAGUCGGAGUCUGUCAAAAAAUUGGUUAUUUUGCCUGAAGAUUCGAUUUUAACGCGCAGAGUCUGUCAAAAAAUUGGUUAUUUAAUUUUGCCUAAAUAUUCGAUCCGAGUUUUCCACUUUAUGUACUGUUUAAUAAACGAGCAGGAGUGUUUUAUUAGAUUUAAAGUGGCUUUAGACCUAAUAAAACACGACCUGCGAGUUUAUUAAACGGCUUCAAACACGACUACAAAUUCAAUAGAUAUACUGCCUUAUUAGUAUUCUUUAUAUAAAGAAUACUAAUUAGGAGUGUUUUAUCAGGCUUAAAGCCACUGCACGUGACAUAUUAUGGUUGACAUGAUUUGCCAAUGAGCUUAUGAAUUAUUAAUGAGUGUUUGAAAGAUGGUUUAAUAAACUCUUUGCAGUAAUAGACAACUGAAUGGACCAUUUGCAUUAUAGACUAAAUUUUGAUCUAGACAAACAUUUCAUCACAGCUUGAAAGAGCAUCACCAAAUUAGUAAUAUUCCAAAGUUAGGUUGCGAAAUAUAGGCUUGCGAAAUUUGCAAUUUUCAGUCAUUUUGUAUUACAAACGCGAAAUUGAUGCCACAACACCCGAUUGGGCUGUCAAUUUCCCGUGCGUAAUACAAAAUGACUGAAAAACGGCAAACUUACGAAAGAUUCUACUCUUAAUUAUCAGGGUUUUAGGUAUCUCGUUCGAUAUAACCAAUUGUUGAAGAGAGUUGUAAGCAGGAAUCCAACCUGCGAUUUCUGAUAUUUACCCAUGCACCGUUACAUUGCCAUUGGCAUCACCGUAGUAUUUAUACUUAAAAUAUCAUUAAUAAUUCAUAAACCUUGUGGCAAAUCAUGUCGGCCAUAAUAUGUCACGUGGAGUGAAUUUAUAUCUGAUAAAGCAUGAGGCAUUAUAUAAUUGUUCAUCCUAAUUAGUAUUCUUUUGUAGUCGUAUUUUAAGCUAUUCAAAAUACUCGUUGUCGUGUUUUAUCAGACAUAUCUGCUAAAACACUCCUGCUCGUGUUUUAAAUAGUACAUGAACUUGUGGUUAGGGCUCGACAACUGUCUCUACUGUAUUUUUACAACUUACAUUGUUUACAAUCAUUUGAAGAAGUGUUCUUAAGAAGUCUAAGAAUGAUAUGGAAAGCUUAAUAAAUUCUUCCCUGUAUUUUAAGACAAAAGAAAGUUUCUAUCUGAUGAUGCUAUAUAAUUAAGCUCAGCUUAAUCCUACCAUUACUGAUUAGAACUGAACCAAAGCUGGUACUCAUUCAUCAGUUAUGUUCAUACAGCUAGUUCACAUACUUUAUCUGUUAAGUUAAGAAAUGUUUUAGAAAACUGACUCAGUGUUAAACAACUAAGUUAGUUCCCUCACAUAUUUCUUACAAAUCCUUCAAAAUUCCUACUGUGAUCACAGAAACUUUGAUAGUGUAAAUCAGGUCCUAAGAAAAGGUUAUAUUGUCCUUUAUACGUGAUCUGAUGCUUCAGUAUUUUGCUCUGUCUAGACUGUCUAACAACAGGGGUUGGUUGUUCAAAGCUAGGUUUGCUUAACCCUAGUAGGUUAACGUAAACUUCAGAGCAAACUUCCUGACAGCUUGUCUAUAAAUUCGGAAAUAUUUCUUUAGAGUCUUGUCUGGAUCGAUAAGAGUUUACUUCUCUGAAGUUUUGAAAUAAACAGACGUGCAGAAGUACACAAACUAAAACAGCAGGUUGAAUUUUAACCCAGGGUUAGCGCUAGUCCAGCUUUGAACAACCGGCCCAGAUGAUUUUACUUGUCAAUGGAAAAGUUCUCGAACCAAUUCACAUAAAAAGCAAAGCAUAUUUUCAUACCGGUUGAAUUGUUCAUAUUCUUCUUCUUGACUAGCUUGUUGCAGUAUGCUGUCUACAAGGUAACAGAGAUGUUGUUAAUUUUCUUUCAUCCCCUUAUUAAAAAAUUGCGUAACAAAUUAGCGGGCACUUGAGCUUGGAUCAACAUUGAAUGCAUGAUAUCUUCACAUGCAGUGCAACCGGGAAUCGAAAAUCGUGACCACUUUGUCCUUGACAAUGGGAAUCAAAUAUAUCCAGUUUAAAUAUAAACUAAUCUUUGUCCCUCGAUCCUAGGCAGAACCUGUUUCCUCGAUUUUUUCCUUUAAAUAGUAAAUCGCUGGAUGCCCUAAUUUUCUAUUUUAUUCCAUCUAAUAACAGGGGUGGCCAUGCCGGGGCGUACGGGAAGGAAAAAAUUAGGGGGGCGGAAAGAAAUUUGCCCGACUUUUUCGGAUUGUGCCCUCGUUGUCAAAAAAAAUUUUCCGGAGAAACUUUCCAAAAUUGUUGUCGACGGGAGGGCGGGGGAGGAGUGAUUACGAAAAAUUCCUAUUAGAUAGCAUAUUUCCCACAAAAUUUCCCACAAAAUUGACAGAAUUUGUCCCAUUUAUUUUUAUAAUAAGCGAAUAUUGCCAGACUGGCUUUGUUUGCCCAACAAACUGGGGGGGGGGGGGCUGCCGCCCCCUCCGCCCGGUACGCCCAUGGGGGUGGCGCUAGAGGAGGGUGUAGGGAAGUGGAAACCACCCUCCAUCCACGAACAAGCCGGCAAAUUGUUGCAUUAAUUCGGCAGAAAUUGAGCUGUUUGGAUAUGGACCGAAAUAUCGAUUUAUCUGAAUUAGUAGAAGUAGUAGUAGUAGAACUUUAUUUAUACACGCUGACCUCGUCAACUACGGCUGAUUUCCACGGGGGGCGUGUAAAAUUAAAAAAAAACAAAGGCAAAAAACCAAACGUGAAUUUAAAUAUGAAACUUAAUACUUCAAAAAGUCUGGUGAAUAGAUAUAUUGAAAAUGUACUCUAUCGAGUAGUUGCGGGUAAUUUAAAAUUGAGAAGAGCCCAACAGCCUACAUAAAUGCAGACGAGUUGGUUUUUGACAGCGGUCAUGGCUGGAAGCAGUUGUUGUGGAUGGUUAGGAUCAGUUUCAAUCGUCGAGGUGGUCAUUUAAAAUCUUCCCCAGAACCACAGAAUACUAUACAGAAGUCC